AUCGCUUCGGCCUUGGCUAAGAUCAAGGUAGUAUCUGUUCUUAUCAGUUUAAUAUCUGAUAUGUCCUCUAUAUGAGGACUAAGUAUAUUAAGCAGAUUUUUGGCAUGAGGGGGUACAAUUUGGAGCUUGUCUUCUCUCCAUGCAUCGACUCCAGCAUUGCAGCAGCGCUGGGAACGGUGCACCUGUU